CUACGGGUCGCUGCAGUAAGGAAUAUUGCGCAAUGGAGGCAACCCUGACGCAGCCAUGCCGCGUGCAGGAAGAAGGCCUUGUGGGUCGUAAACUGCUUUUAUUUAGGAAUAAACCCCCGAACGUGUUCGGGGCUGAAGGUACUAAACGAAUAAGCACCGGCUAACUCCGUGCCAGCAGCCGCGGUAAUACGGAGGGUGCAAGCGUUAUCCGGAUUUAUUGGGUUUAAAGGGUGCGCAGGCGGGCUAUUAAGUCAGUGGUGAAAUCCCGGGGCUCAACUCCGGAACUGCCAUUGAUACUGAUAGUCUUGAGUUUGGUUGAAGUGGGCGGAAUGUAGCAUGUAGCGGUGAAAUGCAUAGAUAUGCUACAGAACACCAAUCGCGAAGGCAGCUCACUAAGCCAAAACUGACGCUCAUGCACGAAAGCGUGGGGAUCAAACAGGAUUAGAUACCCCGGUAGUC
rnacentral:rRNA from 1 species